GAUGAACGCUAGCUACAGGCUUAACACAUGCAAGUCGAGGGGAAACGACAUCGAAAGCUUGCUUUCGAUGGGCGUCGACCGGCGCACGGGUGAGUAACGCGUAUCCAACCUGCCCACCACUUGGGGAUAACCUUGCGAAAGUAAGACUAAUACCCGAUGAAGUUCUUCGCAGGCAUCUAAAGAGAACGAAAGAUUUAUCGGCAACGGAUGGGGAUGCGUCUGAUUAGGUUGUUGGCGGGGUAACGGCCCACCAAGCCCACGAUCAGUAGGGGUUCUGAGAGGAAGGUCCCCCACAUUGGAACUGAGACACGGUCCAAACUCCUACGGGAGGCAGCAGUGAGGAAUAUUGGUCAAUGGGCGAGAGCCUGAACCAGCCAAGUAGCGUGCAGGACGACGGCCCUAUGGGUUGUAAAACUGCUUUUUAUACGGGAAUAAAGUGGGCCACGUGUGGUCUUUUGCAUGUACCGUAUGAAUAAGGACCGGCUAAUUCCGUG
rnacentral:rRNA from 1 species